CUCCUCCUCCUCCUCCUCCUCCUCUCUCCCUCCUCCUCCUCCUUCUUGUGGGCUGGUCCCUUAUUGGAUUUGGUGCAUGGAAUUGAUGAGAAAAGAAACCCAAUCUUCCUUUCUAUGAACUGACAUUCUAAUAUGGUCCCCAAGAUGCACAGUAAGAAGGAAGUCCUCCUCACUUUGGGGGUGUGGGAUUCUAGGUGAUCACAAAGAGCAGGUGAGGAAAUAAAAUGUUUGCUAGUGAAAAGCAGAGGGACUCAUUGCAAACCCAGCAGUCAGAACACCAGCCAUGGCGGGUAAAGGCGUUCCCUCCUCUACUCUCCUGCAGAAAGGAGCCGGGGGUGCAGCCUGUGUGGACAGGGUCCCAGGGCAUCUCUCCUCCGUGCCCCACACACUGUGUAGUUUGUACAGCUUUGUGAAUAAACUGUUUGGUACUUUUUGUGCCCC